rnacentral:rRNA from 1 species
GACGGGGGGUCCUAGCGUUGUUCGGAAUCAUUGGGCGUAAAGCGGGCGUAGGUGGCUAUGUAAGUCAGGAGUGAAAGCCCUGGGCUCAACCCAGGAAGUGCUUUUGAAACUGCGUAGCUUGAGUGUGGAAGAGGAUAGUGGAAUUCCAGGUGUAGUGGUGAAAUACGUAGAUAUCUGGAGGAACACCGGUGGCGAAGGCGGCUAUCUGGUCCAACACUGACACUGAGGCCCGAAAGCGUGGGGAUCAAACAGG